AGCGUAGACGGAAUGGCGAGUCUGAUGUGAAAGGCCGGGGCUCAACCCCGGGACUGCAUUGGAAACUGUCAAUCUAGAGUACCGGAGGGGUAAGUGGAAUUCCUAGUGUAGCGGUGAAAUGCGUAGAUAUUAGGAGGAACACCAGUGGCGAAGGCGGCUUACUGGACGGUAACUGACGUUGAGGCUCGAAAGCGUGGGGAGGCAAAACA
rnacentral:rRNA from 1 species